GUGGGGAAUAUUGGACAAUGGGGGGAACCCUGAUCCAGCCAUGCCGCGUGUGUGAAGAAGGCCUUUUGGUUGUAAAGCACUUUAAGCGAGGAGGAGGCUACCGAGAUUAAUACUCUUGGAUAGUGGACGUUACUCGCAGAAUAAGCACCGGCUAACUCUGUGCCAGCAGCCGCGGUAAUACAGAGGGUGCAAGCGUUAAUCGGAUUUACUGGGCGUAAAGCGCGCGUAGGUGGCCAAUUAAGUCAAAUGUGAAAUCCCCGAGCUUAACUUGGGAAUUGCAUUCGAUACUGGUUGGCUAGAGUAUGGGAGAGGAUGGUAGAAUUCCAGGUGUAGCGGUGAAAUGCGUAGAGAUCUGGAGGAAUACCGAUGGCGAAGGCAGCCAUCUGGCCUAAUACUGACGCUGAGGUACGAAAGCAUGGGGAGCAAACAGGAUUAGAUACCCGGGUAGUCC
rnacentral:rRNA from 1 species